AGAGUCCUCGCUGCCUAAAAUUCAACUUUAAAAGAAAAGGAGCUCUUAAAGGGAAACGACUUUGGACUCACGUAGGCACAGGAGAACGAAACUUCUUUACAUUUUAAUCUGAAUAAUUCUUCAGGAUUUAAAAUUAAUUGGCUCUGGCUUGGUUGGACCGUACUCGGAUCUCGCCACCUCUGCGUUUCCCGAGUCACUGGCGAAGAGGUCCCAGUUCCUCUGGGAAUCGUCCUGCAUGCAACAUCUUCACAAGAGUGGCAGGCAGUUGAAUCUCUGGCCUUCGUGGGACCACUGGACAUCUGGCAGAGAACCAGGAAACCACGGUUCCCUUCUGUGAGUCCCUCAGCCGGAAAACUACAAGAUAACUCUGUGGAGCUGCCAGGCCUUUUGCACCUUAAUGUGAAGACAUUUCGUGGGUCCUCCCCGGACCCGCCCCCAGCAAAGCUCCUCAUGCAGCUGCUGUCUGCAGACCCCCUGGACUGCCUGGGGAAGUGAGCCGGAGCUCCUGCAGCAGAGGGGUGGAACAGCUACACGAAGAUCCGAAGGUGGCCAAAAAUAACAGCGCUUUCCAGAUGAGGGAGCCAGUUGUCCAGCACAGUGUCAUGGGACAGUGGGCCCUGGUGCCACAAUGCCCGGCAUCUCCACCAGAUACAGCUUUGAGAUCUUCAUGAUGAAGCUUGCUCCAAUCCAAGGGCUGUCAGGUGGGGUUUGCGGUUCAGCUGCUAACCUUUCUUUGACAUCUGGUUCCCAUUACGUACAGUGUUGGGUACUUGAGUUCACCAGCCAUUUUGCAUACCAAGCAGUGUGCAGGCAAAAUCCCCACUGACAUCCACCCGUAUGCAUUUGCACCAGGAUUUGGCCAGUAGCAAGCAUUAAAGAGCUGCAGGAUCUUGUAUUUUAUUUCUUUUGGGAUAUUUUAACUGGAUUUUCUUUGGAAUGAAGUUUUAUCCUUGCCACACAAAAGAUCUUGUGGAAGAAAUUUCUCUGUUCGAUAGAACGAGAGCUCAUGGAUAUUAUCCUGAAGGACUGAAGAUGGAUGCCCUUCUCUAAUGAGCUUUAGCAAGCAGAGAGGCAGUCUUUUCCUGCACCUGGUUAUUUUACUUUGUCCUUCAGAAUCUCUCCCGGAUAAACCGAUGAGUGUAACGCCAUUAUCAUGGACUUUUUCCCCAGCUGCAGACUUGAAAGAGUUAAUGUGCUGCAAAUGCCUCCGUGCCUGGGGAGUUCUGCACCACCUCUGCCCAGGCUGCAGAGGCAUUAGGCUCCAAACAGGAGAAUCUUCUGAGAGGUUCCCAUGGAAGAGAACCCUCACGCUGCAAGUAUCCAGGAUACACAUUCUGAUUCAUGGUUAUCUACAACUCCGGGUGGAAGUCAAAGAUUGGAAGAGGAUGACCUCUGAUCCUGGAACUGCAUUGCUUGGUGGUCAGGAGGGGUUCUUAGUAAGCAAACUCAGUUUAAUUCCAGAGUCGGAAGUGGGUGUCAACAAGCCAAAGCAACAUCCUUUCAGCUCUGCUGCUUUUUUGUCUUGGUGGAGGAAUAGCCAAUGGAAGAAGAUGGAGAGUCCGGACCAAAAAAAAAAAGAUGAGACAGGGUCUCACUCUGACUCCUAGGCUGGAGUGCAUCAUGGGGCUCUGCAGCCUCAACCUCCCAGGACCAAGCGGUUCUCCCACCACAGCCCCUGGAGUAGCUGGGACCACAGAUAUUCAUCACCCCACCUGGCUAACUUUUUCGUUUUUAUUUUUUGUAGAGACAAGUUCUCCCUAUGUUGCCUAGGGACAGCAUCACUUUUGCUCUGCUGCUCAGGCUGGAGGGCAGCAGCAUGACCUUGGCUCACUGCAGCCUCCACCUCCUGGGCUCAAGCAAUUCUCCCACUUCGGCCUCCUGAAUAGCUGGAGUCUCAAUAUGUUGCCCAGGCUGGUCUCGCACUCCUACCUCAACUGAUCUUCCCACCUCAGCCUUCCAAAGUGUUGGGAUUACAGGCACAAGCCACCGUGUCUGGCCAGGAUGCUUGUCUUAAAAACAAAGAUUUACUACCAGCAACCUGGCUGGCCCAAAAUGUGACUGGCAGCUUAUUUUAUAUUCCCCAUACACAUUAAAUGUAGAAAAUUAGUAACUAUUAGAUUUGAUUAAAUAUUAAAAUGUCAUAUUGUUCAGCCAAUGAACAAAUUGUUUUCAAGCUGCUCUGGGGGGAAUGACUAGCCUGCUACCUUUUUAUGGUGUUAGUUAUAUGGUAUUUUUCUCUUCCUCCCUUCAUAGUAAAAAUCCUUGAAGGCUUACUCUCCUUGAGAACACUUCCUCAUGGGUUUUUGAAUCUGCAGCUCUUUCCACUCCCAGGUACUGAAACCAUAUUUUUCACAGACCCCUUUACCUGCCCAAGGGUCAACUUGAUUCUUCUCCUUUGCCAUUUUGCACCGUUGACCAUGUUGAAAAUCCUUGCACUUGCUGUCUGCUGCACUCUUCUUGUAUUUUGUUUUCUUCUGAAUUCUGAUGAAUACUAUUCUGUUGUUUCAUGGUGCAUGCUCAGGGUUCUGUUCAUUAUCAUCUUCUCUUUGCCUGAUCCUUUAUCUUUAAGCAAACCCAUCCAUUCUUGCUACUCCAGUUAUCUCCUCUAUCCAACGAGCUGGGCCACCAUGAUUUUUCUCCUAAGCUUGUUAUCUUCACCUGGAUUUCCUCAAGCACAGUAUAUAAAGCCAAAAUUCUUCAAUUGUCUCUGUAAACCAGCUCUCCUAUCCCUUCCCCCUUUGUCUCAGCCAUUUGGUUUGUAUAUGGAAAUAAACCUCCUGGUGUUAAAACCUCAAAACUUCAGCAUUAUCUUUGUCUCUACACUCUUGUUUGACCUCUAGAUCCAGGAAAUACCCCAGUUUCAUUAUAAGGCCUGUCAAUUUUAUCUCACAAUGUUUUUCACACUUAUAAGCUAGAUAGACCAAAGCAAGGGUCUGUGUGCGCAUUCUCUGUGAUGCUCAUUCUUAUGUUCUCAAGAUAGUUGCUUGAACUCUAGCUGCAGCUUCUGCAUUUCAGGUAGAAAGGAAGAGGAUGAUCACAGAAUCAAAGGGCAUCUGCCAACUGAAUCUGCCACCCUUUAAGGGGAGCAUUCCUGAAAGCAACAUGUAAUAAUCUUUGCUGACAUUGAAUUGAGCAGGGUAGUGUCACAUGACCACUCUGAUCUACAAGGGAGGCAGAGAAAUGGAGUUCAAAAGAUCGGGACACAGUGCUGUUUCAAUAAAUGGGAGUUAUAUUGGAAAGGACGAAAGUGCAAAAUGUUUUGGGGUGGGCAAUUGACAGUCUCUACACACCUUUUUUCUUAACUUUCCUAUGUUUACUUGAAAUAAAUUUCCACUGACUUUGAAUAAAACACUCCUUGUUUUCCACCAUCAUCAUCUAACUUGACAUCUUCACUGUCCUUUUGCUUAGAUUUUUACAAAGCCAAGUGGACUCUGUGUGCCUCUACUUCACUGCUACCGAGAGGUGAAGUCAGCUGGGCUUCUGGGUGGGGUGGAGACUUGGAGAACUUUUCUAUCUAGCUAGAGGAUUAUAAACACACCAAUCAGCACUCUGUAGAAACGCACCAAUCAGCGCUCUGUGUCUAGCUAAAGGUUUGUAAACGCACCAAUCAGCACUCUGUAAAACGGAUCAAUCAGCACUCUGUAAAAUGGACCAAUCAGCAAUCUGUAAAAUGGACCAAUCAGCAGGACAUGGGCAGGGCCAAAAAAGGGAAUAAAAGCUGGCCACCUGCACCAGUAGCGGCAACUCCCUCAGGUGCCCUUCCACGCUGUUGAGUUUUGUUCUUUCGCUCUUUGCAAUAAAUCUUACUACUGUUCACUUUUUGGGUCCGCACUGCCUUUAUGAGCUGUAACACUCAAACUGCGAAGGUCUGUGGCUUCACUCCUGAAGUCAGCGAGACCAUGAACCCACCAGCAGGAAGAAAUAGGACAUAUCUGAAGAAACAAACUCCAGACACACCAUCUUUAAGAGCUGUAACACUCACUGCGAAAGUCCGCGACUUCAUUCUUGAAGUCAGUGAGACCAAGAACCCACAGGAAGGAAUAAAUUCCAGACACACUACUACUGUCCUUGUUCAUUAAUCUAUUGAUUUGGCAAGAAAAUAUUGAUAACAGGCACUGUCCUGUGUACUAGAGAUGGACAGAAUCAUGACUUUUGGCUUCAGGGCCUCACAGUUCAGUUGGAGAGAGCAACAUGGCACCAGUUGAUUCCAGGGCAACACAAUUAGUGACAUAACAGAGACAGGUGAAAGGGAUUGCAGAAGCGGAGAGAGCAUCCUGACUAAUUCAAUCUGCGAAUGGUGAAGAAGACCUUCCAGGGGUGAUGCUGUGAGCUGAAUUGUGUAUUAGUAGGAAUUUCUCGGUUCAACACACAGAGAAAUAACAAGUUUUCUGUUGUAAACUAUUCCUUACUAAUUAAAAACAUAGUGGUUAUAUUCUUGACCUCACUCUGAAUUUAAUUUUUAAGAAUGUAAUCAUAAGUGAAGCAACUUUAAAUAUAGCAUUAUAGGGCACAGUAUUGAUAAAUGAGAGGAAAACUUUUUCUUAAGGAGUGUACCACUCACUUACCAUGCCCUGAAAUUAACUGAGAACUCAUUUGUCAAGAGAGCACCUACCCUAUAUAGAAUUCUUCCAAUUAACAUCAAAAGCGAUCAUUCUUAACCUCUCAUGCAUUAAGAAAAUCUUGUCUGCACCCAAUGUUCUGUUCAUAAUCAAUGAAGCCCCUUACGUAUGUUAUUGCAAAUUUAUCACCCUGUAUGUUACUAAAAUGGAUGAAUUAAUAAAUGAAUCUGCUGUAGGUCCAGAAGCCAGAUUUAUCUGUUGUCUCCUGGUUCUCAUGGGAUUUUCCUUUGGUCUCCAAGACAUUUCACUCUGCACUUUCUCAUAGUUUGGGAUAUUUAUUGACAGCUACUGACAGUAUGAGUUGGUACUCAUAGACUCACCAUGGCUAUAUCAGAAAAGUGGUUUUGAGGGGGAUUAGUUAAAUUUAAAAAUGUCAGCCAAGUGACUCUCAGGCUAUGCUAAAAAGGCAGUGCAAGUGUUGUGCUAUAUCAGUUCUAAAAGUAUCAUAUUGCUAUAAAAAGCAUACAUCAAGAUAAUUAAAUGAUGCUUAACAUUGGUGAGGUCAUGGUAAGCUUGACACAUUCAUAAACAUUAGUUAAAGAGUAAAAUAGUGCAACAUUCCUGGAGGCCAAUCUCAUGAUAUGAAAUUAGAAUAGGUUAGGAUAUAUUCUUAGGAUCUGAGCCUUCUUUCCACCUGUAAGGAUCUAGGCAAGACUGGGUGUAGAAGGAUGGCCAUUGAAGUAUUACAUAAACUGCAGAAUACCCAUGAGCUAGAAAACUAUGUACUAAUCAAAAUUGGUGCUUUCUGAUAAUUUUGAUUACAUGGAAAAGUGCCCACUAUGUUCAACGAAUAAGAAGAAAAACAGUUGUAUCAAAGUCUGAUCCAUAUGUAGGGAUACAUCUAUCACAUAUGCAUACACAUCUUUCAAAUGAUUUGCAUCAGGAUGCUAACAAUAGUCUAAGUUUAGGUGAUUUGUAUUAUCAUCUUUAAAGUUCUCUAAAUUUUAUAAAUUUCUAAUCCAUGCAUGAGUUUCACAAUUAGAAAUAAAUUGCUGGGUUUUUUUUGUUUUUUUUUUUUUGUUUUUUGGAAUGCAGUGGUGCGAUUACAGCUCACUGCAGCCUUUACCUCCUGGGCCCGAGUGAUACUCCCACCUCAGUCCCAUGAGUAGCUGGGACCACAGGUGAUAUGGUUUGGCCGUGUCCCCACUCAAAAUCUCAUCUUGAAUUGUGGCUCACAUAAUUCACAUUUAUUGUGGGAGGGACCUAGUAGGAGGUAGUUGAAUCAUAGGGGUGGGUAUUUCGCAUGAUGUUCUCAUGAUAGUGAAUAAGUCUCAUGAGAUCUGAUGGUUUUAUAAAGGGGAGUUCCUGUGCACAUGCUCUCUCUUGUCUGCUGCCAUGUAAGAUGUGACUUUGCUCCUCUUUUGCCUUCUGCCAUGAUUAUGAGGCCUCCCCAACCAUGUGGAACUGUGAGCCAAUUAAACCACUUUUUUUUAUAAAUUGCCUAGCCUUGGGUAUAUCUUUAUUAGCAGCGUGAGAACGAAUACAACAAGUACGUGCCACCACACCUUGCUGUUUUUUUUAUUUUUGUAGAGAUGGAGUUUUGCCAUGUUCAAGCCCAGGCUGGUCUCGAACUCCUGGGCUCAAGUGAUCCUCCCACCUUAGACUCUAAAAGUUCUGGGAUCACAGGUGUGAGACACUUUGCCUGGCCAGAAAUUAAUCACUCUUAAAAGGAAAACUAAAAAGGACCAUGUAGUAGAAGAUGAAGAGAUUAUUUAUAGGUAUUUUUUAUAUGUAUACAGUCUACAUGGCUAAUUCUCAGACUCACAUACCGUGUGAGGUCAAUUUCACUAAGGGGCUCAGCACACACUCUGGCCGGGGAGGGUGCUCCAGGCUUUGAGCCUAACUGCCUGCCAUCACUCUCUCCCCUCCCAUGCCAUUCUCCAGGCUGCCAUCAGAUUUCUCUUUCCAAAGCAUAGCUAUUGUCCUGUUAUUCUCUCUCUGGAAACAUUGUUAAAACCCGUUAUCCUCUCUGGAAACAUUGUUAAAACCUUCCCAAUUGUGCACAGAAUACAUUCUCCCCCUCCGCUUGGCUCCAGUUCAUGUCCUCAGUCUGAUAUCCCUCACAUCUCUCAAUCCUCCGGCACUCCAGCACAAUAGAGCUACCUUCAUGACACUCUUCACCUCCCCCUGCCCACCACUUUACCCUCAUUUUUGCUUGUCCUACCUGUUCUUUCAAGCCCUGCUCAAAUUCCCAGAGUGACCACUCUGAAUUAAUCUUUCCCUCCAUUAUUUCCUCUUUGCACUUUAUCGAUCUCUUUUAUUGCAUUAAUCAGAAUUUUACUUGUAUUAUGGUUCCUUGUGUCUUUCUGUUCUUAUAUUGAUUUUUAGCUACCCAAAUCAUAUCUUCAUUCAUAAUCUUUAUGGAGUGGUUCUCAAACAUUAGCACAUAUCACAAUCAUCUGAGGGUUCAUUAAAACAGAUUGCUGGACUCCAUCCCUGGUGUUUCUAAUUCAAUACAUCUGGGGUGGGGCACGAGAACUGGCAUUUCUAAUAAAUCCCCACGUGAUGCUGCUGCCGCCCCAGUAUGGCAACCACACUUCGAGCACCACUGCUUUUCAAAAAUGGGAAACAAUGAACUAACGUAAAUGAACGUGAUAUAGUACAUAGGGAAUGGAAGUUCACAGGGCAGGAUUUAGAAUCAGAGGCUUGGGUUUGAAUUCCAGUUCUGCCACUUAAUGCUUCAACAAGUUAUUUAAUCCCUCUGAAUCUUCAUUUUCUUGCCACAAAAAUUGGGAUAUUAUUACAGUAAGUCCUCAAUGUCACCCAUAGGUUCUUGGAAACUGUGAAUUUAAGCAAAAUGAUGCAUAAAAAGAACAAUCUUACCAUGGGCUAAUUCACAUACUCAAGAGUUAAGGGCCUAGGAAGUACUUUUGGUCACAAAAACAUCAAACUUCUAAAUAAAAACUAAAACACGGCCAGGCGUGGGGGCUCACACCUGUAAUUCCAGCACUUUGGGAGGCCGCGCUGAGCCGAUUGCCCAAGCUCAGUAGUUCAAGACUAGCCUAGGCAACACAGUGAAACCCUGUCUCUACUAAAAUACAAAAAAAAAAAAAAAAAUU